AAGAGAACUUUGGGCAAGGGGAUAACAUGAUCAAAGUCAAGUCAUUCUAUAGCCCUCAGCAAUCUUCAAGUUCAACAGUGACUUCUGUGAAGCAAGUUGCUUUUAAUUCAAACGGCUCUGGAAAUCUCAUGAAGCACUUGAUAAGGCUGAUCAUUUCAAACUGAUUUCAAAAUUCAGAAGUGCUACCCUGGGAUUAAUAGCUCUCCUUCCGUUUUAAUCUCUAAUCUUUAAAAUGUAUUCUUAAGGGCCUGCAUGAUUCACAUACUUCUUCAGAGUCAAUGUAAUAGAAAUCCAGCUUUUAAAUGGCAAAAAAGAAAAGAGAGAAAUUAGGUUUUUGCAAUAUUAGAGAAUCUCAAUGCCUAGAGUCUAGGGUACUAUCUUUUCUCUCUCUGACAACACCGAGGAGGCCAAAAAAGAACAAGAAUACAGCUUAAUUCAAGAAAACCAUUUAUUCAUGAUUCUACAGGCUACUUGCUGAAAACUAAGGAUUCUGAGAAAACGAUUCUCCUUCUGCAUGGGAUCCAGGAAGGAUAUAUCCCCACACACCAUGUGGAAAGAAAAAGAACUGGAACGUGAUCAUAUCUCUAAAAGACCCUGGAUCUAACCUUGCCUGAAAUGUGUUUACAAGCCAGGAACCAUGAAGGGGGACAUCUGAUCUUCAAAUCAAAGACAGACAAACUGAAACAACAUGAGAACUAUGACAGGCCCAAGAUCAUGAGAACACCCCUUGAACGUGAAAUAGAAUCAAUGCCUGUCUUCCCUACUAGCAAUCUUCCCUUAGAUCACAUUGUCAGUACAGUUCCCAAGUGACUCACUCUGUUGAUAAACUGAAAUAAUGCUGAAUUCCAUAUAAUUAUGCUAACCAAGCAAGAUUUAAUGACUAUGUGAUAUCUGUCCCUCCAGAGAUGUGACAGACAUGUCAUUAACUUUCUUUAGCAAAUUACUAAGCAGCAAUUCAAAAAGAGUGUAACUUGAAAUGCUGUACUUUGGAGUUGAUACUGUGAAUUGUGUAGUACAAUUUUCACUUUCUGCUUCCCAAAAGAUAACUGACAUGAGAAGGAAAAGAGUUGCCAAAACAGUCUGCAAACUGAUUAAAACAACAGUUCUAAUGAAAAAAGUCUGAAAAUAAAACUGACUUCUAAAGUUAAAGUCA
rnacentral:lncRNA from 1 species